UACAUUGACAAUGGUAGAGAAUACU
rnacentral:piRNA from 1 species